GACGAACGCUGGCGGCGUGCUUAACACAUGCAAGUCGAACGGAAAGGCCCUGCUUGCAGGGUACUCGAGUGGCGAACGGGUGAGUAACACGUGGGUGAUCUGCCCUGCACUUCGGGAUAAGCCUGGGAAACUGGGUCUAAUACCGGAUAGGAGCCAUUUUUAGUGUGAUGGUUGGAAAGUUUUUUCGGUGUAGGAUGAGCUCGCGGCCUAUCAGCUUGUUGGUGGGGUAAUGGCCUACCAAGGCGGCUACGGGUAGCCGGCCUGAGGGGCUGGACGGCCACACUGGGACCGAGGGACGGCACAGAUUGCUACGGGAGGGAGAAGUGCGGAAGAUUGAACAAUGGGCGCAAGCCUGAUGAAGCGACGCCGCGGGGGGGAUGACGGUCUUCGGGUUGAAAACUCCUUUCGCUAGGGACGAAGCUUUUUGUGACGGUACCUAGAUAAGAAGCACCGGCUAACUACGUG
rnacentral:rRNA from 1 species